AUCUGCAGUUUUCAGCACAUAUGACAGAAUUUCAGCCGUUUAUUUUUUUUUCUCCCAAAUACGUUUUUAUUGAUUUCAGAAAGAGGACGGGAGAGAGAAAGAGAGAAACAUGGAUGGGCUGCCUCCUGCACACCCCAUCCUGGGAGUCGAGGCCCAAACCGUGCAUGUGCCCUGGCGGGGGUGGGGGGGCGAGCCAGCGACCUCUGGGUGCAUGGGCGAUGCCCACCAACAGCCACGCCCGCCUGGGGAGCCACUUCCCCGCGCAGCUGUCUCCGGCCUCCCCGGGCCUCCCGCCCUGAGUCGGUCAGUUACCGCGCCUUCCGUGCCGCACAUGCGGACGCCCCGACGCGCCCUCCCAGCGGGGCGGCGCGGCUACGGACGCGCUUGGUAGAAACCACACUGCUGAUUUCGGAUUUUUAACUUUCGCCGGGCCGGGGAUAGGCAGUGAGAUACCCUCUGUGGUGCUGGACAGCGUCCCUAAGUCACAGCUCCCGUCAGCCACCCCACCGGAGGGUGCGCACCCGCGCUCUACAGUGUAGGGUUAAAAUUCACUUUCCACCGAAGGCAUUUUCAGCUUAACGAUGGGUUCGUCAGGAUGUAACCCCAUCAUGAGUCAGAUAGCCCCGGGGAUUCUCCAGUCCUGGGAUGAAACACAGGACUGGCCUAAGGUAGUCAGAAAAUCACAGAGCCCUGGCCGCAAGGACUUGGUUGGGAUGGGCAUCUGACCUAGAUAGGCCGAUUAGAUGGAGCUCCUGGAAAAUUCCUUUAAUUCUUCAUCCUGAAUGUCCAAACAAGAAGCGACGUGACAGUACAGUGGUGCUGGCUAUCUGGUCAUCACAAGGUGAGAGCCUGGAGCUGUUGAGGACCGUCCCAUGACCCUCAGAGGGCAGAUUACGCAGCAAAACGAAGCAUGGCUGACGUGGUGGAUGUGUGAUGGCCAUGCUGUGAGGGACCCUCCUCAAGACACUGUUCCAUCCUGGACUCGGGGCUACACCACCAGAAUGCGACAUUCUUGGACAGGGCUCAUGGACACCUCAACAUUUUUGUUGUGUUCUGUUUUGCUGCCUCACUGGGGGUCUGCAUGUGCCUGAGUCAAUCAAUCCAGUAAUUUGAGGACAGCUGUGCUUGGACAAACAGCUGCUCUGUCACCCACUCUGAGUCAAGGGGACCAUAGAGCUGAGACCCUCUGCACCGGAUCCGGGAGGAGGAAGGAAGGAGUUCUGCCGGGUAGCGGGGCCGCAGACCCACCAUUGUACCUGCUGCAGGUAGGUCUGCGCUCAUGACCAGUCCUCUCAUUGUUGCUGGCUCUUGGUUGCUUUCCGGGGCCCCAAAUGGAUGUUUUUAAUAUUUUCUCCAGUUCUGUGCUUGUUUUCUGUGGAGGAAAGUUGUCUAAUGUUCUCAUGAUGCCAUCACUGGAAUAUUUUACUUGAGAAA